AUCGAACGCUGGCGGCAGGCCUAACACAUGCAAGUCGCACGAGUGGCGGACGGGUGCGUAAUGUCUGGGAAACUGCCUGCAGGAGGGGGGUAACUACUGGAAACGGUAGCUAAUACCGCAUACCAUCAAAUUGGCCCAGAUGGGAUUCGCUAGGUGCUGGGGUAACGGCUCACCAAGGCGACGAUCCCGAGCUGGUCUGAGCGGAUGACCAGCCACACUGGAACGGAGACACGGGCCAGACUCCUACGUGAGGCAGCAGGGGGGAAUAUUGCACAAUGGGCGAAAGCCUGAUGCAGCCAUGCCGCGUGGAUGAAGAGGGCGUUCGGGUUGUAAAGUACUUUCAGCGGGGAGGCGUUACCCACAGAGGAAGCACCGGCUAACUCCGUGCCAGCAGCCGCGGUAAUUC
rnacentral:rRNA from 1 species